UACAAUAUAGCAAAUAAAACACUGGAAUGGUAGAUUUGUAGUCGAAGAAAGUGCAAAGUAGAAAUAGAAAUAAUGGGGUGCAAAGGAGCAAAAUAAAUAAAUACAGUAGGGGAAGAGGUAGUUGUUUAGGCUAAAUUAUAGAUGGGCUAUGUACAGGUGCAGUAAUCUAUCCCAUCCUCAUCCUCGUCUGCAGGACAGUUUGAAGAGGUGUGAUCAGUAGUGUCAUCACAGAGUCAGGAGAGAGGGGAAAUGAACCUUUAUUUAACUAGGCAAGUCAGUUAAGAACAAAUUCUUUGGUGAUGUGGACACCAAGGAACAUGAAACUCUCGACCCGCUCCACUACAUCCCCGUCGAUGUUCAUGGGGGCCUGUUCGGUCCUCCUUUAAGUCCUGUAGUCCACGAUCAUCUCCUUUGUCUCGCUCACGUUGAGGGAGAGGACAGGCCAGGUCUCUGACCUCCUCCCUAUAGGGCCCGUCUCGUCGUUGUCGGUGAUCGGGCCUACUACUACCACUGUUGUGCCGUCAGCAAACUUAAUGAUGGCCGUUGCAGUUGUGAGUGAACUGGAAGUACAGGAAAGGGUCUGAGCACGUACCCCUUGAUAACUGACUGUAGACUACUCAUUCUCCUUUAUGAUGGCCGUUGGAGCAGUAUAUUACAGGUAGAUUGCUGGGUUAAUUCCUGUUUAUUGCUGGGUUUGUCGACAAGGCAGAUUCCUUUAGGUUUUACAAUGGGCUUAGGUGGGCCUUUGGAGAGCGUGCGUGUGUGUGUGUGUGUGUGUGUGUGUAAUGAUUGAAGGAGGGAUGUUUUUCUGUCCUCCGUCAUUCGAGUCACUCAUUCCCUCGUUCGUGCCAUCCUGUGGUUUAACGGUUUGAUCUGAUGGCCUGGUGACCUGGGCGUCCGGUCACACGAACACAAUAACCUUCUGAUGGGGAUUGACUGGCAGUUCAUCUUUCAUCUGGUUUCACAUCAACAGGGUUAGAGAAGGGGGAAAGGCUCUCUCUCUCUCUCUCUCUCUCUCUCUCUCUCUCUCUCUCUCUCUCUCUCUCUCUCUCUCUCUCUCUCUCUUUGUCUUUCUCUCUCUCUCUCUCUCCCUUUCUCUCUCUCUCUCUCUCUCUCUCUCUCUCUCUCUCUCUCUCUCCGCUCUCUCUCUCUCUCUCUCUCACCAUCUCUCUCUCUGUCUGUCUCUCUCUCUCUCUGUCUCUCUCUCUCUCUCUCUCUCUCUCUCUCUCUCUCUCUCUCUCUCUCUCUCUCUCUCUGUCUCUCUCUCUCUGUCUCUGUUUCUCUCUCUCUCUCCCUCUCUUUCUCUCUCUCUCUCUGUCUUUCUCUCUCUCUCUCUCUCUCUCUCUCUCUCUCUCUCUCUCUCAAAUUCAGAUUGCUUUAUUGGCAUGAAAUACAAGUGGUAGAUAGCCAAACCAGUACAGUGGUACAUUAUUACAGUAAGGACAGUAUAGAGGUACAUCAUUACAGUAAGGACAGUACAGUAGUAGAUAUAUAAACCAGUACAGUGGUACAUUAUUACAGUAAGGAUAGUAUAGAGGUACAUUAUUACAGUAAGGACAGUACAGUAGUAGAUAUAUAAACCAGUACAGAGGUACAUUAUUACAGUAAGGACAGUAUAGAGGUACAUUAUUACAGUAAGGACAGUACAGUGGUACAUCAUUACAGUAAGGACAGUACAGUGGUACAUCAUUACAGUAAGGACAGUACAGUAGUAGAUAUAUAAACCAGUAUAGUUGUACAUCAUUACAGUAAGGACAGUAUAGAGGUAUAUCAUUACAGUAAGGACAGUAUAGAGGUACAUAAUUACAGUAAGGACAGUACAGUGGUUCAUCAUUACAGUAAGGACAGUAUAGAGGUACAUCAUUACAGUAAGGACAGUAUAGAGGUACAUUAUUACAGUAAGGACAGUAUAGAGGUACAUCAUUACAGUAAGGACAGUAUAGAGGUACAUUAUUACAGUAAGCACAGUACAGCGGUACAUUAUUACAGUAAGGACAGUAUAGCGGUACAUUAUUACAGUAAGGACAGUAUAGUGGUACAUCAUUACAGUAAGGACAGUAUAGAGGUACAUUAUUACAGUAAGGACAGUAUAGAGGUACAUUAUUACAGUAAGGACAGUACAGUGGUACAUUAUUACAGUAAGGACAGUAUAGCGGUACAUUAUUACAGUAAGGACAGUACAGUGGUACAUCAUUACAGUAAGGACAGUACAGAGGUACAUUAUUACAGUAAGGACAGUAUAGCGGUACAUUAUUACAGUAAGGACAGUACAGAGCAGUGAGGGAACAUGGAUGAUGGGUCCAUUAUGUACUUGUCAGUUAUAUACAAUGUAAACACUACAAGGAAUGAAUGGUCAUGGGAUGUGCCUCAGGCUGUGACAAUCAUAUAUCUGGCUGUUAUAUUAACAUGUCUGUCAUUAUGAAUAGAUACAUACAUAUAUAUACAUAUAUAUAUAUAUAUAUAUAUACAUACAGUGUUUUAACGACGGGGCAAUAGUUAAAGUACAUGGUAGAAAAAUGAACAUUAAAUUAUCCAUUGCACCUGUACAUAGCCCAUCUGUAUAAUAGCCCAUCUACCUACCUCAUCCCCAUAUUGUUUUUUAUUUUAUUUAUUUUGCUCCUUUUGCAGCCCAGUACAUCUACUUGCACAUUCAUCUUCUGCACGUCUAUCACUCCAGUGUUUAAUUGCUAUAUUGUAAUUAUUUCGCACCACUACGGCCUAUUUAUUGCCUUACCUCCUUUAUCCUACCUCAUUUGCAUACACUGUAUAUAGACUUUCUCUAUUGUGUUAUUGGCUGUAUGUUUUGUUUAUUAUACUCCAUGUGUAACUCUGUGUUGUUGUUUGUGCCGCACUGCUUUGCUUUUAUCUUGGCCGGGUCGCAGUUGUAAAAUGAGAACUUGUUCUCAACUAGCCUACCUGGUUAAAUAAAGGUGAAAUAAAAAAAUUUAAAAUUCUGGCAACAGCACUGUUGGAUAUUCCUGUAGUCAGCAUGCCAAUUGCACCCUCCUCCCUCAAAACUUGAGACAUCUGUGGCGUUGUGUUGUGUGACAAAACUGCACAUUUUAGAGUGAUCUUUGUUUGUCCCCAGCACAAGGUGCACCUGUGCAAAGUUAAUUAUUUUUAAAUGGACAGUAAACAUUUACACUCACAAAAGUUCCAAAGGAAUAAAGACAUUUCAAAUAUAUUACUGUCUAUAUACAGUGUUGUAACGAUGUGUAAAAAAGUACAAAAGGUAAAAUAAAUAAACAUAAAUAUGGGUUGUAUUUACAAUGGUGUUUGUUCUUCACUGGUUGACCUUUUCUUGUGGCAACAGGUCACAAAUCCUGCUGUUGUGAUGGAACACUGUGGUAUUUCACCCAGUAGAUAUGGGAGUUUAUCAAGAUUGGGUUUGUUUUCGAAUUCUUUGUGGAUCUGUGUAAUCUGCGGGAAAUAUGUGUCUCUAAUAUGGUCAUACAUUUGGCAGGAAGUUAGGCAGUGCAGUUCAGUUUCCACCUCAUUUUGUGGGCAGUGUUGCACAUAGCCUGUCUUCUCUUGAGAGCCCAGGUCUGCCUACGGCGGCCUUUCUCAAUAGCAAGGCUAUGCUCACUGAGUCUGUACAUAGUUAAAGUUUCCUUAAGUUUGGGUCAGUCACAGUGGUCAGAUAUUCUGCUACUGUGUCCUCUCUGUUUGGGGACAAAUAACAUUCUAGUUUUCUCUGUUUUUUUGUUAAUUCUUUCCAAUGUGUCAUGUAAUUAUAUUUUAGUUUUCUCAUGAUUUGGUUGGUGUCUAAUUGUGUU
rnacentral:lncRNA from 1 species